CAGUAGCCCGGUAAUACGAAGGGUGCAAGCGUUACUCGGAAUUACUGGGCGUAAAGCGUGCGUAGGUGGUGGUUUAAGUCCGUUGUGAAAGCCCUGGGCUCAACCUGGGAAUUGCAGUGGAUACUGGGUCACUAGAGUGUGGUAGAGGAUAGUGGAAUUUCCGGUGUAGCAGUGAAAUGCGUAGAGAUCGGAAGGAACAUCUGUGGCGAAGGCGACUAUCUGGGCCAACACUGACACUGAGGCACGAAAGCGUGGGGAGCAAACAGGAUUAGAUACCCCGGUAGUCCCUGUCUCUUAUACA
rnacentral:rRNA from 1 species